GCCCGGGGGGCAGCACUCUUGGGACGCCCGCGCAUGCCCUCUUACGUGCUUUGGUCUCGGCGCCGCUCGUAGGGCAAAGCGCGCGCGGGUGGAAGAGCUCCUCCUCCGCCUAGCAGGCGCUGCUCCCGCGGGGCAGGUAAGCCAGGUUGAGGGAGACCGGGAGCUGGGCGGGGCUGUCGACCCACCCGGGCCUCGUGGCCGUUUUGGGACUGAGGACUUUCUGGACAGGGGCGCCCACCUCCCGGCGGACCGCGCUCGGUCCGGCCGCACACUGGUCGACUCGCUCGAUUUUAUUUAUUUUGAGAGAGAUUAUGAGCAAGGGCAGAAGCGGAGGCAGAGGGAGAGAGAGAAUCUCAAGCAGACUCCACAUUGAGCAUGGAGACCAACUCAGGGCUCCAUCCCACAACGGCGAGAUCAAGACCUGAGGUGAAAUAAAAAAUCAGU
rnacentral:lncRNA from 1 species